rnacentral:pre_miRNA from 17 species
AGUCAACUUGGAUUGUGGUCUGGUUCUGUGUGGAAGACUAGUGAUUUUGUUGUUUUUGACAGUUGGAUUGACAACAAAUCACAGUCUGCCAUAUAGCGCAGAUCAUAUCUCUCCCGAAAGUUC